ensembl:lncRNA
AUGCUCACACACACCCUCCACACUCACACACGCACACACACACACCUCCACGCACACACACACACACACACUAUACCUCCAUGCUCACACACACACCUCCAUGCUCACACAAGCGUACACACACACCUCCACGCCACACACACACACCUCUAUGCUCACACACACUCUGGACUCCACGCCACACAAGCACACACACACCCUUACCUCCACACUCACACACAGACACACACCUCCACACUCACACACAUGCACACACACACACACACCUCUAUGCUCACACACACACACCUUCACACUCACACACACACACCUGCACCUCCACAUUCACACACACACCACACCUCCAUGCUCACACAAGCACACACACACACCCACACCUCCACGCUCCAACACACACACACACACACCUCCACGCCACACACACCACACCUCCACGCCACACACACCCACACCUCCACGCUCACACACACCCACACCUCCACACUCACAUACAUACCCGCACCUCCAUGCUCACACAAGCGUACACACACACCUCUAUGCUCACACACACUCUGGACCUCCAUGCUCACACAAGCACACACACACCCACAUCUCCACGCACACACACACCCACACCUCCACGCCACACACACUCUGACUCCACGCCACACAAGCACACACACCCUUACCUCCACACACACACACACACACACACUAUACUCCAUGCUCACACACACCCUCCACACUCACACACGCACACACACACACCUCCACGCACACACACACACACACACUAUACCUCCAUGCUCACACACACACCUCCAUGCUCACACAAGCGUACACACACACCUCCACGCCACACACACCCACACCUCCACGCCACACACACCCACACCUCCACGCCACACACACACCUACACCUCCAUGCUCACACAAGCGCAUACACACACCUCCAUGCUCACACACACACCCUACACCUCCAUGCUCACACAAGCACACACACACACCCACACCUCCACGCCACAUACACACCCGCACCUCCAUGCUCACACAAGCGUACACACACCUCCAUGCUCACACACACACCCUACACCUCCAUGCUCACAAGCACACACACACCCACACCUCCACGCUCCAACACACACACACACACACCUCCACGCCACACACACACACCCACACCUCCACGCCACACACACCCACACCUCCACGCCACACACACACCCACACCUCCACACUCACAUACAUACCCGCACCUCCAUGCUCACACAAGCGUACACACACACCUCUAUGCUCACACACACACUCUGGACCUCCAUGCUCACACAAGCACACACACACCCACAUCUCCACGCUCACACACACACACCCACACCUCCACGCUCACACACACACUCUGGACUCCACGCUCACACAAGCACACACACACCCUUACCUCCACACACACACACACACACACACUAUACUCCAUGCUCACACACACCUCCACACUCACACACGUGCACACACACACACCUCCACGCCACACACACACACACACACUAUACCUCCAUGCUCACACACCCCUCCACACUCACACACGUGCACACACCUCCACGCCACACACACACACACCUCUAUGCUCACACACACUCUGGACUCCACGCUCACACAAGCACACACACCCUUACCUCCACACUCACACAGACACACACCUCCACACUCACACACAUGCACACACACACCCACACCUCUAUGCUCACACACACACCUUCACACUCACACACACACACACCUGCACCUCCACAUUCACACACACACCACACCUCCAUGCUCACACAAGCACACACACACACCCACACCUCCACGCUCCAACACACACACACACACACCUCCACGCCACACACACCACACCUCCACGCUCACACACACCCACACCUCCACACUCACAUACAUACCCGCACCUCCAUGCUCACACAAGCGUACACACACACCUCUAUGCUCACACACACUCUGGACCUCCAUGCUCACACAAGCACACACACACCACACCUCCACGCCACACACACCACACCUCCACGCCACACACACACCCACACCUCCACACUCACAUACAUACCCGCACCUCCAUGCUCACACAAGCGCAUACACACACCUCUAUGCUCACACACACUCUGGACCUCCAUGCUCACACAAGCACACACACACCCACACCUCCACGCCACACACACACACCCACACCUCCACGCCACACACACUCUGGACCUCCAUGCUCACACAAGCACACACACACCCUUACCUCCACACACACACACACACACACACUAUACCUCCAUGCUCACACACCUCCACACUCACACACGCACACACACACACCUCCACGCCACACACACACACACACUAUACUCCAUGCUCACACACACCUCCACACUCACACACGUGCACACACACCUCCACGCACACACACACACCUCUAUGCUCACACACACACUCUGGACUCCACGCCACACAAGCACACACACCCUUACCUCCACACUCACACACAGACACACACCUCCACACUCACACACAUGCACACACAUACCCACACCCUAUGCUCACACACACACACCUUCACACUCACACACACACACACCUGCACCUCCACAUUCACACACACACACCACCCCCACCCUCCACGUGCUCUCACACACCCACGCCCAUGCUCACACACACACACACACACACACACACACAUCAACACACACCCUUCCUCUCCUCCUGUCACACCCGAGGGCCCUCCUCCCUGUGCUCAGGACCCUGGCCCUCAGAGGGCCCCCAGGGCUCUUACCCCGUCCCCACAUGCACACACACACCACGUGCUUCAAUACCUUCCACUCACAACAAAAACGCCUCACUCCCCUUCGCUCAUCUGUUCCUUGCCCUGUUCCAGACGAUCCACCCACCUGCUCGAGACGCUGGACCGCCCGCGGUGACCGCCAAGUCUCUGAGCCCAAGAUCACCUCCUGUCUCCCAGCCCACGGGCAGGCGCCUCCCCACCUGACACCUGGGUCACCCACUCUGUGCCCGACCACGCAUGGACCCCGAGUCCCUCCUCCUCUAGCUGGCCUCACGGCCAGGAACUGUCUGUCCUUAUAG